rnacentral:rRNA from 1 species
UGGGGAAUCUUGGACAAUGGGCGCAAGCCUGAUCCAGCCAUGCCGCGUGAGUGAUGAAGGCCCUAGGGUCGUAAAGCUCUUUCGCCAGAGAUGAUAAUGACAGUAUCUGGUAAAGAAACCCCGGCUAACUCCGUGCCAGCAGCCGCGGUAAUACGGAGGGGGUUAGCGUUGUUCGGAAUUACUGGGCGUAAAGCGCACGUAGGCGGAUCAGAAAGUAUGAGGUGAAAUCCCGGGGCUCAACCCCGGAACUGCCUUGUAAACUCCUGGUCUUGAGUUCGAGAGAGGUGAGUGGAAUUCCGAGUGUAGAGGUGAAAUUCGUAGAUAUUCGGAGGAACACCAGUGGCGAAGGCGGCUCACUGGCUCGAUACUGACGCUGAGGUGCGAAAGUGUGGGGAGCAAACAGGAUUAGAUACCCUGGUAGUCCACACCGUAAACGAUGAAUGCCAGACGUCAGCAAGCAUGCUUGUUGGUGUCACACCUAACGGAUUAAGCAUUCCGCCUGGGGAGUACGGUCGCAAGAUUA